GAUUAUUAGUGGAUUAGUCGGCAAGCGUGUAUUCUACAGUAUAAUAAAAUUAUUGUAAAUCUAUUUCAGUACAAAAUUAUCUUGUUAUUGUGCAGCCUAACUUUUAAAGACAAUAUUGUAAAUGUGGCGUUGUAUUUGUCUGUUUUCGACUUCAUUGAACCGAUGCGGCAGAAACGGAAUUUGAAAUCAUCUGCCAAGGAAAAAGUCCCUAGCCGUGCGGAGGGUGGGGAAAGCGCUAGUGAGUUUUAUGCGCAGCUCCCUUGCGCAACUAGUACUGCUGGGCAUGCGCGCGACCACAGGCAUGGGUGAGCUGCGCGCUACGUGACUUCUGUAUGCUUUAAGAUGGCGGCUGCACGUGUGUGCCUUUCCCGGCGUCUCGUGUAUUUCGUCUAAUUGUAUUAAUAAAAUGCGGAAUUUAGAUUAUUAAAGUAUUUAAUUAGAGGGAAAUAGUUUCGGGGCGUGUAAUUAAUAUAGUGAGUAUUGUUUUUGAAAGUUUAUUAGUGAAAAGUGAAGGGAUUUGUGGGAAGUGUGCAUGAGGACGCUAGGGCGUGGCUCGUUGGUGGCUUGGUGAUGAGGCCUAAUUUGUUAAAUAAAUGGCCAAAUUGUUGCUAAAAAGACUGGUACAUUGUGGAUUAAGUGGGAUUUUUUAAAAUAAUAAAAUGCUAAAUGGACUGAAAAACGAGUAGCGUCUCCACAGAGCUGUGAGACGAAGGGAUGGCGGGGCGAGGGGGGGGGGGCAGCCGUACGUGUUCGUGUUUGUUGGCGGCAUGGUGAUGACGCCUAAUUUAUUAAAUAAAUUGUGAAAUAUUGCUAAAAAAGACUGGUACAUUGGGUGUAAAUGGAUUGGCCCAGGAAAGUGUGUGCAUUCAAUGACAUUUUUUAAAAUAACAAAAUGCUAAAUGGACAGUUGAGAAAUGGGGAGCAUCUCGACAGACUUGGGCGAUAAAGGGAUGGUGCGGCGAGGGGAGGCAGCCGUACGUACGUUUCCGUGGUUGUUGGUGGCUUGGUGAUGACGGCUAAUUAUGGUGGAAAUUUUCAUUAAAAAAUACUAAAUUGGGUGUUAAUGCAUUGGCCCAGAAAAGUGUGUCAAUUUAGUGACAAUUUUGAAAAAUAAUUGAACAGUUAAUGGACGAAUGAAAAAUAAGGAGUGUCUCUACAGACUUGGGUGGCAAAGGGAUGGUGCGGCGAGGCGGGGCAGCCGUGCGUGUUGGUGCUUGUCGGCGGCUUGGUGAUGACGCGUAACCUGUUAAAUGAAAUAAUUGGACAAAUUGUUGGUUAAAAAAAAAGUGGUAAAUUGCGUGUAAAUGCAUUGGCCCGGAAAGGUGUGUUUAUUGAGUGACAUUUUUAAAAUAAUAAAAUGGAAAAUGGACGAAUGAAAAAUACGUAGCGUAUCUACAGACUUGAGUGGCAAAGGGUUGGGGGGGGGGCAGUUGUGCGCGUUGGUGGUUGUUGGUGCGUCGGUGUAAUUUGUUUAAAAUUUUAAUUAAAAAAAUGAUGAGUGAGGUAUGGAUUGGCGUAAAAAAGUGUGUGCAUUGCGUUAAAUUUUUUAAAAUAAUAAAAUGUUUAAUUGUGGAGUGGAAAUACGGGAGUGACCAGUGGGGCGAAGGGAUCGAGGGGGGGGGGGUAGUUGUGCGCGUUCGUGGUUGUCGGUGGGCCGGUAAAAAGGCGUAAUUUGUUUAAAAAUGUUUAGAAUUUUAAUUUAAAAAAUAAUGAGUCGGGUUGUAAAUACAGUGGCCUAAGAAAGUGUGUGCCUGUUGUUUGAAUUGUGGCAUAAUUAAAUGGUUAAUUGGUUAGUGAGAAAUCAGGUGGAAUAUUAAGUGAGCAGUGUUUUUUUGGUGGUGGAUAGUCAGUGUUUUUUUUUUUUUUUUUUUUUUUUUAAAUGUGAAUUGUUGAAGUGAGCUGUGGAAAAGGAGGAAUGCUGAGACAGCAUUCGACAGCAGGCGACACAUUGCAGUUAUCCCGGUGAAGUGAGCUGUGGAAAAGGAGGAAUGCUGAGACAGCAUUCAACAGCAGGCGACAGUAUGCAGUUUGCAGUAUGCAGUUUGCAGUUUGCAGUUUGCAGUUGAUAUCUCGGUGAGUCAAAAAUUAAAGAAUUUUUAUUUAAUGUUAAGCAAUUGUGAUAAAUUUUGAAUUAUUUGUCACAAAUGUUUAACGAUGCUCAUGAUGAGCUUCUAGUGGAUAAGAGGUACGUUUAUCAGUUGUGAGAAAUUAAAAUUAAUUAAUUAAUAAAGUGAAGCUAGCCAGAGUUGGGGUUUUUGAAUUAAUUAGAGAAUUAGCUCUUAAUUGGGUUUUAUAUAAUUUUUUGGUGUGGUCAGUAGAAAUAAAAUGUUGAAAAAGGUUUUUUUGAAAAAGUAGUUUUUGUAAUUUGUCAUGCACUGUUGGACUCAGCUGUCACAUAUACUGGGGGUUGUAGGAAGGGGUGUUUUUUUUGGGGGGGGGGGGCGCGGUGGGAAAUGAAGACGGGCGUUGCUGUAGAAUUGAGCGGCCGCCGUCAGAUCCCGCACUUUAUCCGUCGGACUCGGACGUGUAUUAUUGAUACCCGUCGGAGUGCGACCUGUAUCCUGAAUUACCCGUCGUACUUGACUGUGGUGAAGUGCGACGUGGAGUCCCGUUUUGUAUAUGCCCUGUAUAUUGGGCGGUAAAAAGGGCGUAAAUUUAGGGUGGAGGGGAAUGAAGACGGGGGGACCGUCCAGAAUUCGACGGCCUCCUUGUCGGAGCCCCCGGGGUUUUGUUCCGUCGGAGUUGGACACCGAGGAAAAGGUAUCUGAUUCCGACGAAUCGUGUUGACCAAUUGAGCCAUCGUGUAUUAUAUAGGGGUGGAAAAUAUUUUUUGGACAAGCCUCGACGCAUUGAAUUGAAUGCGGAGGUUUAGUAUAUGCGGCGGCGGCGGCUAGUUUGGGUGGAAUGGUAAAUUAUAAGAAAUGAAUAUUUGAAGAAAGCUUUUUGAGGAUGAAAUGAAUAAUUAGUAAAAAAAUAAUUGAGUGGGAUGGUUAGCUUGACAGGUGGAUAUUUGUUAGUCGGAAUUUAGUAAUUUGCAUUGUAAAUGAUUUCUCACAAAUGAUGAAUAACCGUAAAGAGAACCUCGGGGGGAGGAGCAUUUAAAUGUAAAAGUGAUAAGGUAGUAAAAAUGUUUAACAUCUGUUAUGGGGAGAAAUAUAAAUUGAAAAUGUAUUUUUCAUUGCUAUUUCAUCGAGCCUGAGAAAUAUUUAACAAGGCUGAUAAAGAAUUGGGUUUUUUUGUGGGGGAUUUUAGUGAUGAACCCGGGGGUUGAUCGCUGUGAAAGUUGUAAGGUACAGUUAAUGGUAUAAAUAUAAAUUUGUAAUUUUUUUGAAUUGAUAUUAAAUGGCGUGAGCAUGUUUUUAUGAAUAGAGAGAGUUAGAAGCGAAGUUUUGCAAAGCCUAGUCAUAAUGAAGUUGUAAGGGUUUCGCUAGAUGGUGUCAGUCAAGAAAUUGGUGGCCCUGCGAAACUUGUCACCCUUCAGACUAGAUUUGUUUACCUUUGCAAUAAUAUUGUUAGACUGGUUAGGAUAUUUUUAUGAAUAGAGAUUGAGAAGAGAGAGAGAGUUAGAAGCGAAGUUUUGCAAAGCCUAGUCAUAAUGAAGUUGUAAGGGUUUCGCUAGAUGGUGUCAGUCAAGAAAUUGGUGGCCCUGCGAAACUUGUCACCCUUCAGACUAGAUUUGUUUACCUUUGCUAUAAAAUUGUUAGACUGGUUAGGAUAUUUUUAUGAAUAGAGAUUGAGAAGAGAGAGAGAGUUAGAAGCGAAGUUUUGCAAAGCCUAGUCAUAAUGAAGUUGUAAGGGUUUCGCUAGAUGGUGUCAGUCAAGAAAUUGGUGGCCCUGCGAAACUUGUCACCCUUCAGACUAGAUUUGCUUACCUUUGCAAUAAUAUGGUUAGACUGGUGAGGAUAUUUUUAUGGAUAGAGAUUGAGAAGAGAGAGUUAGAAGCUAGGUUUUGCAACAGUUAGUCAGAAUAAAGUCGUAAGAAUGUGACAAGAGGGUGUAAAUGAAGGAAUACUUAGCAAGGCGUGUGAAAAAUAGGGUUUUUAAAAUUGAUAAAAAUUUUUUGUCGGGUUGUCAGGUGUUAAAUUCAGAAGGUAUUGAAAAUGGGUGAAAUAAAAAUUUUGAAAAUAGCUUUAAUGGAUAUUCCAUGGUGUGAGACGAAUAUUUAGCAAAGCGUGUGAAAAAUUGAGUUUUUUAAAAUGAUUUUAAUGUUUUGCGGGGUUGUCAGGUGUUAAAUUGGUAACAUAUGGAAAAUUUUGAACCAAUGUUGGUAAUUGGUUAGAGCGCGGGUGACUUGUUCCACACGUCGAUAACUAGUCUGUCGGUAAGAGUAUUGGACGGUCGGUAUCUCGGCGAUGGGUAAAUAGUCGACGAAGUGUAAUGACGUGACAGGGUUAUCAGCCGUCAAACUUUUACCGUAUUGAAAAUAGUUGAAAUAAAAAUUUUAAAAAUAGCUUUAAUGGAUAUUAAAUGGUGUGAGACGAAUAUUUAGCAACGCGUGUG